rnacentral:rRNA from 1 species
UACAGAGGUCCCAAGCGUUGUUCGGAUUUAUUGGGCGUAAAGGGUGCGUAGGCGGCGUAGUAAGUUGGGUGUGAAAUCCCGGGGCUCAACCUCGGAAUUGCAUUCAAUACUGCUUCGCUCGAGUACUGGAGAGGAGACUGGAAUUUACGGUGUAGCAGUGAAAUGCGUAGAUAUCGUAAGGAAGGCCGGUGGCGAAAGCGAGUCUCUGGACAGUUACUGACGCUGAUGCACGAAGGCCAGGGGAGCAAACGGG